rnacentral:rRNA from 1 species
UUGAACGCUGGCGGCAGGCCUAACACAUGCAAGUCGAGCGGUAGCACAGAGAGCUUGCUCUCGGGUGACGAGCGGCGGACGGGUGAGUAAUGUCUGGGAAACUGCCUGAUGGAGGGGGAUAACUACUGGAAACGGUAGCUAAUACCGCAUAACGUCGCAAGACCAAAGUGGGGGACCUUCGGGCCUCAUGCCAUCAGAUGUGCCCAGAUGGGAUUAGCUAGUAGGUGGGGUAACGGCUCACCUAGGCGACGAUCCCUAGCUGGUCUGAGAGGAUGACCAGCCACACUGGAACUGAGACACGGUCCAGACUCCUACGGGAGGCAGCAGUGGGGAAUAUUGCACAAUGGGCGCAAGCCUGAUGCAGCCAUGCCGCGUGUGUGAAGAAGGCCUUCGGGUUGUAAAGCACUUUCAGCGGGGAGGAAGGCGAUAAGGUUAAUAACCUUGUCGAUUGACGUUACCCGCAGAAGAAGCACCGGCUAACUCCGUGCCAGCAGCCGCGGUAAUACGGAGGGUGCAAGCGUUAAUCGGAAUUACUGGGCGUAAAGCGCACGCAGGCGGUCUGUCAAGUCGGAUGUGAAAUCCCCGGGCUCAACCUGGGAACUGCAUCUGAUACUGGCAAGCUUGAGUCUCGUAGAGGGGGGUAGAAUUCCAGGUGUAGCGGUGAAAUGCGUAGAGAUCUGGAGGAAUACCGGUGGCGAAGGCGGCCCCCUGGACAAAGACUGACGCUCAGGUGCGAAAGCGUGGGGAGCAAACAGGAUUAGAUACCCUGGUAGUCCACGCCGUAAACGAUGUCGAUUUGGAGGUUGUGCCCUUGAGGCGUGGCUUCCGGAGCUAACGCGUUAAAUCGACCGCCUGGGGAGUACGGCCGCAAGGUUAAAACUCAAAUGAAUUGACGGGGGCCCGCACAAGCGGUGGAGCAUGUGGUUUAAUUCGAUGCAACGCGAAGAACCUUACCUGGUCUUGACAUCCACAGAACUUUCCAGAGAUGGAUUGGUGCCUUCGGGAACUGUGAGACAGGUGCUGCAUGGCUGUCGUCAGCUCGUGUUGUGAAAUGUUGGGUUAAGUCCCGCAACGAGCGCAACCCUUAUCCUUUGUUGCCAGCGGUUAGGCCGGGAACUCAAAGGAGACUGCCAGUGAUAAACUGGAGGAAGGUGGGGAUGACGUCAAGUCAUCAUGGCCCUUACGACCAGGGCUACACACGUGCUACAAUGGCAUAUACAAAGAGAAGCGACCUCGCGAGAGCAAGCGGACCUCAUAAAGUAUGUCGUAGUCCGGAUUGGAGUCUGCAACUCGACUCCAUGAAGUCGGAAUCGCUAGUAAUCGUAGAUCAGAAUGCUACGGUGAAUACGUUCCCGGGCCUUGUACACACCGCCCGUCACACCAUGGGAGUGGGUUGCAAAAGAAGUAGGUAGCUUAACCUUCGGGAGGGCGCUUACCACUUUGUGAUUCAUGACUGGGGUG